GACGAACGCUGGCGGCGUGCCUAAUACAUGCAAGUCGAGCGGACCUGUUUUAAAGCUUGCUUUAAAACAGGUUAGCGGCGGACGGGUGAGUAACACGUGGGCAACCUGCCCGUAAGACCGGGAUAACUUACGGAAACGUGAGCUAAUACCGGAUAGGUUUCCUUCCCGCAUGGGAGGGAAAGGAAAGGUGGCGUAAGCUACCACUUACGGAUGGGCCCGCGGCGCAUUAGCUAGUUGGUGGGGUAACGGCCUACCAAGGCGACGAUGCGUAGCCGACCUGAGAGGGUGAUCGGCCACACUGGGACUGAGACACGGCCCAGACUCCUACGGGAGGCAGCAGUAGGGAAUCUUCCGCAAUGGACGAAAGUCUGACGGAGCAACGCCGCGUGAGCGAAGAAGGCCUUCGGGUCGUAAAGCUCUGUUGUCAGGGAAGAACAAGUACCGGAGUAACUGCCGGUACCUUGACGGUACCUGACGAGAAAGCCACGGCUAACUACGU
rnacentral:rRNA from 1 species